UUUUCUUCUUAUACUUCCGUAGUUUAUUAUUUUUAGACUAAUAUGAUAAAAUAAUUAGAUUAUCAAUUAGUCUACGUAUAUAUACAUUAGACCCUAGCCCGUAGCUAUUUUUUUCCCGUAAAACAGCUUGGCCCUGAUUUUUUAAAUAGCCAUAACUUUUUACUCGUUUGUCCAAAUCCAACGAAACCAACACCCACUUCUUCGUUAUGAUCCCCUCUAUCCAGUAAUCCAACUCAAACAUGUUUUUGAAAUUUUAAAAUUUGAAAUAGACCAGAUUUGUAUUCAAACUUCGUUUGAUCAUAACUUGAGUUUCGUAGCUCUGUUUGAGUUGAUUCUUUUUGCAAAUCAAAGCUCUUGACCUAAACUUUCUGAUAAGGCCAAAUUCACAUAAUUUUGGUACUGUUAGAAAUUGUUUUAUGUUGCAAGCGUUAUUUGCUUGGUUUUGAAGUUUUUCGAAUCGUCUUCUUCGAUCUUUCUGAUAUUUUGAGUGAUUGCUUAUGUGUGGUUACUAUUGCUUGCUUAUGAUAGAUUGACCGGAGUGUGACGAGUAGAACUAUCAAGAGUUAUGAGUGCGAAUCAUCUUCAUCAACAUUGCAGGCAAGUUCACACUUUGAUCAUAUUCCUUUCAUACCCAGUUUUUAUGCAUUAGUUUCAACCUCAAACAUUGCAUGAAUAGGAUUGAUAACAUGUGGGUAUUGGGAAGUAGUUGAUGAGGUAGGAACCCAUUGCCCUACAUUCAAACCUUGGGAGUUACUAUUACGUUAUGCUUAUAUUGCCAUGCUAUGCUCGUAGACGUGGAUUGGGUUUGAGAGUAUUCAUGACAGAUGUGAGAUUGUUAAUUAAUGGUUUAACUUAAGGUGGCAACUUUAACACACAUCUGGGUGGAUUGAGACACCUGGGUAUUCCAGCGAUUGCCUGUCUAGGCACCUGGGUAUUCCAGGAUUGCCUGUUUUUUUAUGGACCGCCACCCAGACUCAAAGGGAUCAUGAGAUUAUUCAUACUAGAAACUUCCGUGUGCAGCCACAAGCUAUUAUUGGCUCUAGCAUAGUUGAGUAAGUCGUGUGAACUCUUACAGUGGUAGACUAGCAGAUGUAGGGGAAAGUAGGUGUAACGGUCUACCCGAUCGUAAGGUGCUAGCGCUUCUGAAAUACUGUGUCUCGAUCAUCCGUUUCUCAAACACCAUGCAGUGCAAGAAAUCCAACGGAGGAGAUCGAGUCUUGUGGGGAAAAGUGCGCAAACCUCUGCAGAGUGUAUAAACUAAUCAUGGUUAGCCGUGUCCCCGGUUAUGGACAUAUUGAGUAUCUAGUACCUGGAUUAUCAUGUGAAUCUCAUCAUGUUACUUUAAAUUAAGUUUGUUGGGUUUAAUGAUGUUACUUAAUUGGGAUUGAGAAUGCUGUCAACCAUUCUCAAUGUUUAACAACCACCAUGAUAGUUAAAUAAAAUUUAUUCCUUUGCAGUAUGGAAAAAUUUGCUUUUCGCAAAAACCUUAUAACCAUAGAGCUUUUCCACCAGCCAUAUAUGCAUGUAGUGAUAGCCAUUGUUCAUCAUUUCUUUCUAUGGUGUGAACUUGCCAGUACAUUCAAUGUACUGACCCUUUGUGGCUGCAACGUCUCAUGUUGCAGGAAUCUUACGACGAGUAAGUGAUACGUUAGGGUUACGAUUUCUACACUCAACUUUGCCGUUGGUGUUGAUGGGAAUCCACAACCUUGUUACUUCCGCUAUUUGGAUGAGGUAAUAGUAUUUAUGUUACUUUAUACAUGUGAUUUACCUCUGUUAUAAAUCCUCGAGUACUGUGUGUGUCAGCAUACCGAUCCAGGGAUGACACUUAAGCACAGAGACUUGAUCCAUUCGGGUCGGGUCGCUACAAGAUGGUAUUAGAGCACAUGUUGACUGUAGGACGUGACCCCUAGAAACUGGCAAGCCCAUAGGAAAGAUUUUCUCUACAACUUCAUUUUGAAAAGAUCUUUUACUUCUCUUCUCUUCUGAGCUUGUUCAAAAAUUCCUUUUUAGUGAGACUAUACCCUUUUCCCCUUUUGACCAUUCAAAGAUUCGACUGAUGAGGCCACUCCAAGAAGUACAAGAUAUGGGACCACUAAGACCACAUCAGAAUGGAGAGGAUUUUACCGUAUAUUAUAAUGAUGGAAACUACAACGGUUGAAGACUCUGAAGACUAGGGGAAUUGGAAGGCCCUGUAGAAUUUUCCAGAUUUGUAUGACCUAGGAAGGCACCCCUUAUGGAACUUGGCGGACUAAGGAAGCUGCCAAUACCUGAGAUCAAGGUGUAUCGGAGAAGGACCGAGCAUGGAGAGUUAGAAACCUCAAAGUUUUGUGAAGAAAACCCUAAGGCAGGAGAUAUCAACUAUGGAAGAUAGCUCAUGGCAAUAUCAAGGGCAGAAACACGGUUAUCCGUGAUGUCAUCGCCCGCUGAUGCUAUUGUCACCGUGCUAAGUUAAGGAUGCUUUCUUCAGAAUGGAUUUGAUGGUAGAAGGCUAAUGGAGCAUCGAUCAGCAAAGGAUGCAGUUUUAACCUUAGCUGGUGUAUCACCAGGAUCUGGAGAAUUACAUCAGGAAUUUUAAGACGGACCCGCAGGAAGCCGUAUUUUGACAAGGAAGCAUUUCCUGAAGAACUUAGGUCCAAGAAGCUGAAGUAGCCAAGCUGGAGGAGCAAAACCUCGAGAUACCGGAGAUUCGUCAGGAACUGAAGGACAGUAGUACCAUGGUUCAUGCGAAGGAUGUUGAAACCAGAAGUUUGGAACGCAACUCCAGAAUAUUAAAGGACGUCACAAGAGACUUCGCGUCAACAGAGUUGAUCUGGCAAAAGAACUUGAGAAAGACAAGCAUGAUCGGAAGAAGCCAUUGGAGGCAUGAACAAGGCUUGAAGAGUUUGGAGACGUUGAAGAUUUAUUAACCUUUAGAAGACCAAACCCCUGUUACAUACCUACGUUAGAUGUGACGUUUGUGAGCUGUCAUUUGUUUGAUGUUUUUCCCGACAGCCACAAAUAAAAUUUGUCUUUUCAAAACUUUUGUUUGUAUUGUGUGUAUCCCUCUCUAUCUCUCUUAUCUCACCCCAAACCCAUGGACCCAAUAGAGGAUGAAUGAAGAUGAGCUUAUAUUUUCUGGACCGAUGAGUCAAUUGGAGACGGACCAAUGGAUUCAGAACAUGGAGGAUCGCAUGAAGAAUAACCCUAUAGUUGGAAAGGAUAUGACCCAUCAUGCUCUUCAGUGCAUUGAAAGAGGUGCUGCUACUUGGUGGAGGAUGUACCAAACCAUCAAUGGAUGGCAAGGAGUAACCACUUGGAAAGAAUUUAAGUUGACUCUGCCAAAGUCUCGGCUUGUGUCCCAGAAGUUGAAGCCUUAUGGAAAGGAUAUGAGGAAACCUUGUGCAUGCAAGAUUUGUGAAGAAAUAGGACACACCCAUAAAGAACACAAGGAUGAAUGCCCUAAUUGUGAAGGAAGUCACCCAGUUGAAGAAUGCCCAACUAGGCAGAUUACUUGUUUCUUGUGUGAAGGGACUAGCCACUAUCCUAUUCAGUGUCACAUUUACCCCAUGGUACAACGAACCAUCCAGCAGAAGAAAGAAGUAAAGAAAGGAGCCCUUACGGGAAUUUUAGAAGAAAUUGUGAUGAGGGAAGAGGUGGAUGACACACCUAAAGAGGACCUGAGUAAACCCUGCACUAAGUCUAGCUAUUCAUGUGGAGAAGAAGGACACAUCUCCCAAAAUUUUUUGAAUGGGGAAUCUAGUAGAAUUCCCGACGGAGGAAGUAGAGUAUGACCCACAAGAAAUAGAAUCCAUGAUUGGAACAGAACAGUCCAAGAAGAGAAGUAGAUUGGAUACCAGAAAGGACUUGAGUCAUAUCACCUAUUACAGGUGCAAGGAGUCAGGGCACUACCUCAGCAGUUGCCCAAAAAGGAAACCUUGAGACUUGUCAGAAGUAAUAUGUUUUCGUUGUAAUAGAGUAGGGCACUUUGCCAGAGAAUGCCCAAAGGAGAAGGAAACUUGUGCUAGAUAGUUGAGUUUGCAACAAAAGAAAUGGAGUAGUAGAAGUGAGAACAUUUUCUUUUAUAUUGAGGUGUUGAGUUGAGACAUGUAAUGGAAAAGCGAUAGAUUGUAAUCAAUUGAGAGUGAAUAAAGUUAGCAUCGUUGGUACUGAUAUGGAUUUUAUGAGUUGUUACUCUAUGAAGAAGGAUUUUGACCAUUUCUGAGGAUAUGAGAAAUAUGGUCUAUGGAAGAUUUGUGCAUUUUAAGGGUGGUAGUACCCUGUAAGAACCCUUGACCCCUGGAAAAGAUAAGGAUACUCCACUGAGUGGAUUUCGGACAAAAUGAAUAUGAGUUUUGUCUCGAUAUGUGUGAUACCCCAAGACUAUGUGGGAUGAAGUUGGAGACCGUCAGUUGUUUGGACCAAAUGUGAUCAAGGAGUCAGAAGAGAAUGUUAAGUUGAUUCGAGAUAGACUGAAGGUAGCUUAGUACAGGCAGAGGAGAUAUGCAGACUCAAAAACUCAAGGAGGUAGUCUAUGAGAUUGGAGACAGAGCACGUCUUCGUCCCCUCUACGAGGAGUUAAACGAUUUGGAGUUAAGGAAAAGUUAGCCCCGAGAUUUGUAGGACCAUACCGAGUUUUGGAGCGUAUGGGAGAAGUGGCCAACAAGUUGGAGUCACCCGAAGGACUGUCAGGUCCCCUGUAAGGACGCUUGACCCUGGAAAGGAUAAUGAUGUUCCACGAAGUGGAAUAUGGACUUCAUAGGUAAGUUUUUAUCUCGGUAUGUGGAAUAGGAUGAAGAGAUGAAUUACUAUUGGAUAUAAAGGAGGUAUGAUGUUGGUAUUAUGGAACGAUUAUAACCCCAUUAUGAGUUUGAGUAAUCACGUCUUAGUCUUAUACAAAUAGAAGGAAGGGAGACAAUACAAUUGGAUGGAUUUUAAGUAUACUAGGAAGCUGGAAGUAGGAUGUUGGUAUAACGAUAAGUUGCCCAGAGGAUAAGUUCAAGGUUUACAAGUGAUGAGAUGGGCCAUAACCCACAGGCCCCAGGACCUACCAAGAAGUAGGCACAUUCUUGCUGAAGGAAAAACCCUGGAAGAAGUUACGUUUUUCUGCAGACAAUUUUAUAGGAGUAACACAAAACCUGAGAGUUGUGAAGGAAUGAUAGAUGUUUGUUUGGCUUGCAGAAUCAAUGGAUUAUUCCGAACGCAGUUCAUGGACAAGAGAAAUUCUGCAAUGUUGUGAGGAUGACCGAGUGUUAGAAUGCGAGAUUCACUAAACCGUAUAUAGGGUAAUGAUUUGGGUGCGGGAUGGAUUGAUCACCAUACCGACUUACUCUUAUUAUUCGCCUUGCUAUAUGGGAUGGUAAAUCUGAGUCACUUACCUAUAGUAGAGAGAUGACGAUAUUAAACCUUGUUUAAACCUUAGAAUGGUAUAAGUAUUUUCCCUUGUACAAGGAAGCUUUUGCCAACCGUAGGUUAUACGGUGAGGAUCAACCCAGACCCAUUUCCUGCAGGAGAAACCAUAAUUGGAUUACCGCCAUGAGAUAUCGAUAGUUGUUUAGUUUUGGCGCCAGACCCGUCAGCUAAGAAGACCCAGUCAUGGAAGAACCUUACCAAGAUGAAAGGACAAAAGAAUUGCGGUAAAGGUUAUGCCACUACCAAAAGAGCCCAGAGAAGGAAUUUUCAGGAGAAUUUGAGAAGACCGGCCCCGUCAACAAUAAAAAUGGAGUAUAUGAGUUUUGAUGGAACCGUAACCAUGCUUCUAAGGGUGGUAGCACCCCAGACCCCGGAGACGAUUGAUGAAAUUUUGAAGAGACCCCGAACCUAACCUAUUUCUUUCUAGCCUCUCCGAAUCUCGAGGACGAGAUUCCUUUUAAGGGUGGUAGGUUUGUAACAUCCCAAAAUUCUAAAUUUUGGAAUGUUAUAAUAAAUAGAUAGAUUUGAUUGAUUGUUUGAUUGAUUGUGUGAAAUUGAGUGAAAUUCGAAACCUUUUUGAAAGUUAAAUGAGAGGGAAUAAAAGAACUUUCCCAAACUUUCAUUUUAUAUUCGUGAUCUCCGUGAAUUCAAAUUCUUUUCACCACGAAACACUGGAGAGAAGAUGACAUGACUUCUUCCAUUUAUUUAAAUGACAAGGGGUGUUGAAAAUAUUUGAAUUUCAUUUGGAAAAUAUUUCCAAUUCUGAAACUUUAUGCAACUCAAUGAUUUUCACGAGAGGAGAUAAAAUGACUUCUUCAAAUUAUAUGAAAUAUGAGUUGGGAGUUUCAAAGGAUCAAAUUCAAAGUCUUUUGGAAUUAUUUUUCAAUUUGGAGUUAUUUGGAUUUUAUUCAAAUCAUUUUUAUCCAAAAAUAAAAUACAUGGAAAAUAGGGUAACAUGAUUCCCUACAACAGAAAAUUGGAGAGAAAUAAAUUUGAUUUCAUUUUGGUAUUUUUAAAAUGAUUUUGUUGGAUCUUGUUAGAGCAGGAGCACUGUUGGAAUUAUUAGAAUUUGUGUGUAUUUUAUUUAAUGCUAGAAAAAUGUUCAUGUCGUAGAAAAUCUUUUUCUGAAAAUUUUGACAUAUAAUGUGCCUAUAUAAAAUUUUUAUUUUAUUUUUGUUAUUCGGUUUCCUUCUGUUUCUAUUUUUUAAAAAAACUGUACGUGCGGCCCAUAUUUAUUUAUCGCCUACAUGCGCAGUAUAGUAGCUUCUGGCGUUCCAUUGUUCUUUUUCUCUCUUAAAUAGGUCAGGCCCAGCUAGCCUUUUUAUUUUUUUUAUUUCUUUUCUUAGGCCGAAUUUUGUAAAAAAAAACUGCAGCCGCAGCGUGCACGCGGCCGGCCGAAGGCCUUUAGGCCCAUGCGAGCCGCUCACUUUUUUCAUCUCUGUUUCGUAUAUUUUCAUCUACGUUUAGUCCCACAUUGCCUAACCUUUGACCUUUAAGCCUUUUUCCACCAAUAAAUAUAGACCCAUAGAGCCUCCAAAAAUCAUCCGAUUCGGGUUAAAUCAAUAUUUUGGUUUGACUAGAUUCAUUUAAGAAAAAUAUAUUUCUUCUGUCCGGCGCGACUUCGAAAUUUUUUCUCUUCUCUCCAAAGUCCCCUUUUCUUUGCCUUAUAAAGGUAUCUUUCUUUGUUUUUUUUUCUUCUUAUACUUCCGUAGUUUAUUAUUUUUGGACUAAUACGAUGAAACAAUUAGAUUAUCAAUUAGUCUACGUAUUUAUACAUUAGACCCUAGCCCGUAGCUAUUUUUUUCUUCCGUAAAACAGCUUGGCCCUGAUUUUUCAAAUAGCCAUAACUUUUUACUCGUUUGUCCAAAUCCAACGAAACCAACGCCCACUUCUUCAUU
rnacentral:lncRNA from 1 species